rnacentral:rRNA from 1 species
UACGUAGGUGGCGAGCGUUGUCCGGAUUUACUGGGCGUAAAGGGAGCGUAGGCGGACUUUUAAGUGAGAUGUGAAAUACUCGGGCUCAACUUGAGUGCUGCAUUUCAAACUGGAAGUCUAGAGUGCAGGAGAGGAGAAUGGGAUUCCUAGUGUAGCGGUGAAAUGCGUAGAGAUUAGGAAGAACACCAGUGGCGAAGGCGGUUCUCUGGACUGUAACUGACGCUGAGGCUCGAAAGCGUGGGGAGCAAACAGG